AGGCCCUCUCUUUCUACUCAAAGUCCUCUUCAAUAACA
rnacentral:sRNA from 1 species